rnacentral:misc_RNA from 1 species
UUUACUGCAAAGAACCAAUCAGGACCCCCGAUCUCAAUGCCCCACCCAGUAUUUCCAUGCCACACAUCUUCCCAUAUGCUGUAUAGGGCCGUCAACACCAAAUAGGAUGAUAUAGCCACUACAACAGGGAAAUACCUCUGUUUGUCCCCAAAACCAGCGACAAAAUCAGUGUCCUGGUUCAGAAGCAGCAAAAUAGGAGCAAGGAGGAAUAUUGCUUGAUUUGAGCCCCCAGUCAGAUUAACAUUCAGGAUCAGGCAUAUAGCAAAGCACAUUAUUGUAGCAACAUUACCAACUGCAGGCAUCCAGGCACCCUCUGCUGCCAUUCUCUUGAUUGUGAAGGCUGGCACAGUAGAUCCCCGCCGCUGCUGCAUGAAUCUCAUUCGUGGAGCAAAACUUGCAGAACUGCUUUGACUAGAUUGGCUAUGUCUAAUUCCACCCCUUUCAAGAGCCUUUUCCCGCAUUAGUGAGGCAAGUUCAAACUUAAUCUCCAGUGCUAUGAGCAUAAAGAUUGCUGCAUAUAAACCAAGAAGAGAGGUCCUUGCCCCCUCAACAGCUAGUAGAGUUGUAAGCUUCCUAUCUUCUUCUACCAUGUCUGCAACUCGACC